GGACUACCGGGGUAUCUAAUCCUGUUUGCUCCCCACGCUUUCGAGCCUCAGCGUCAGUAAUGGGCCAGUAAGCCGCCUUCGCCACUGGUGUUCUUCCGAAUAUCUACGAAUUUCACCUCUACACUCGGAGUUCCGCUUACCUCUCCCAUACUCAAGGUCGCCAGUAUCAAAGGCAGUUCCGAGGUUGAGCCCCGGGAUUUCACCUCUGACUUAACGACCCGCCUACGCUCCCUUUACGCCCAGUAAUUCCGAGCAACGCUAGCCCCCUUCGUAUUACCGCGGCGGCUGGCAC
rnacentral:rRNA from 1 species